rnacentral:rRNA from 1 species
AACCAACAGGGAUUGCCCCAGUAACGGCGAGUGAAGCGGCAACAGCUCAAAUUUGAAAUCUGGCCCCCCCGCGGGCCCGAGUUGUAAUUUGCAGAGGAUGCUUUUGGCGCGGCGCCUUCCGAGUGCCCUGGAACGGGACGCCAUAGAGGGUGAGAGCCCCGUCUGGUCGGACGCCCAGCCUCUGUAAAGCUCCUUCGACGAGUCGAGUAGUUUGGGAAUGCUGCUCUAAACGGGAGGUAUAUGUCUUCCAAAGCUAAAUACCGGCCAGAGACCGAUAGCGCACAAGUAGAGUGAUCGAAAGAUGAAAAGCACUUUGAAAAGAGGGUUAAACAGUACGUGAAAUUGUUGAAAGGGAAGCGCUUGUGACCAGACUCGGGCGCGGCGAAUCACCCGGCGUUCUCGCCGGUGCACUUCGACGCGCCCGGGCCAGCAUCAGCUCGCCGCGGGGGACAAAGGCGCCGGGAACGUGGCUCCCCAGGGAGUGUUAUAGCCCGGCGCGCAACGCCCCGCGGCGGACUGAGGUUCGCGCGUCCGCAAGGAUGCUGGCGUAAUGGUCACCAGUGACCCGUCUUGAAACACGGACCAAGGAGUCGUCCUCGUAUGCGAGUGUUCGGGUGUCAAACCCCUACGCGCAAUGAAAGUGAACGCGGGUGAGAGCCUCGCGGCGCAUCAUCGACCGAUCCUGAUGUUCUCGGAUGGAUUUGAGUAGGAGCAUACGGGGCCGGACCCGAAAGAAGGUGAACUAUGCCUGUGUAGGGUGAAGCCAGAGGAAACUCUGGUGGAGGCUCGCAGCGGUUCUGACGUGCAAAUCGAUCGUCAAACAUGGGCAUGGGGGCGAAAGACUAAUCGAAC